AACGAACGCUGGCGGCAUGCCUAACACAUGCAAGUCGAGCGCGCCUGCGGGGUGAGCGGCGGACGGGUGAGUAACGCGUGGGAACGUGCCCUGUUCUACGGAAUAGCCUCGGGAAACUGAGAGUAAUACCGUAUACGCCCUUUGGGGGAAAGCUUUAUCGGAAAAGGAGCGGCCCGCGCUGGAUUAGGUAGUGGGUGGGGUAAUGGCCUACCAAGCCGACGAUCCGUCGCUGGUUUGAGAGGAUGAUCAGCCACACUGGGACUGAGACCCGGCCCCGACUCCUACGGGAGGCAGCGGUGGGGGAUCUUAGGCAAUGGGGGCAACCCUGAUCCAGCCCUGCCGGGUGAGUGAUCAAGGCCUUAGGGUUGUCAAGCUCUUUCAGCUGGGAAGAUAAUGACGGUACCAGCAGAAGAAGCACCGGCUAACUCCGUG
rnacentral:rRNA from 1 species